AAUCAGUGAGAAGGUUCUGACCACAGAAAGGUAUGACCUCUGAAAGUUGGCCUCUAGUGAGCUAGGUCUCUCCACUAGUCUCCAUGUCACUAGGGUUCCACAAUCUCCAGAAACAUCACCGUCAGCUGGGAAUGCUGAGUGCUCGGAUACAGGGACCCAUGGAAGAUACUUCUGAGUGGAACUAUACCACCUGGGGAGAAGAACUGUGAGCAUCUGAUGGCUGACUCCAUGGAGACGAGGAGGAAUGGCAACAAGGAGGAGGCAGACCUCAGUUUCUGAGGCGGGGAGCACAAGGCAGGUUGGAGAGGAAGAAAGGAAGUCAGGGCUGGCCACAUGGGGCUGAGAUGUACAUAGAGCAUCCAAAUGGAGAGGUGUGGUGGGCGGUGCCAUGAGGGGGCAUCUGUAAUGGGCUGGGGAGAAAAGAAUGGAGGAGAAGAAGGGAGAGAGAGAGAGAGAGAGAGAGAGAGAGAGAGAGAGAGAGAGAGAGAGAGAGAGAGAGAAUAUGAGAGAGAGAAUAUGAGAGAGAAUAUGAGAGAGAGAAUAUGAGAGAGAAUGAUAGUAUGAGAGUGGGCAGAGCCUACUGGAAGACUUGGGAACACCACCCUAGGAAUGCCCAGAUGGAUGCAGAGGGCAAGGAUGGAACAUGGAACAACAGGAAUUGGCCUCCCAGGAUUCCUGCUGAAGGCCUGAUGAAACUGGAUUUCACAAGGCAGCUCACAAAUGGACCUUGGAGAAACUUCUGAGCACCGACUAAAGUCAGGGCAAGUCCUCGUCAUCUCUGCCAAUUGAACAUGGUUCCCUGAGGAUCCGUGGAGUAAAACAAGUUAAAAAUACGAAGAGAACUCUUGACAGAGGCUCAGUUCCUCACGAUCAGGGCUAUGAGGAGGCUUGGCAGCAAAAUCUGGAACAUCUGACUUAACAUGCUGCUGAAGAAGUCAGAGAGUGGGCUCCCGUGCCCCUAAAAGGCAGUGGAACCUGGCCUCUGGAUUUAGCUGCCCAACAAAUGGAGACAGUGUUGCCACAAAGGGGUCAUGGUCCAGGAGGCAGGCCUACAAAGAGGUAUCACUGUGAUUAGAACCCACAGGGGAAAGGAAAGUUAAGAGAGAAGGGGAUGGAGACAGGAAACUGGCAUGAGGACCUGGGCUAGUGGACUUCUGAUUCAAACCACGUCCCCUGACACAGCCUCUCCCAGCCUACUACUGAGAUGUCCAGCUGCAAUGAAGAAACCAUGACUAGAGAGCAUUUUGGACACGGGCCCUUGAGAGAAAUGAGCACACAACCUGCCAGAAGACAGUGAUAUGGCCUCUUGCAUCUGUAGUAAAGACCACAAGGAGCACUGUUGGUGCCUGAGGCUCAGCAACACAUGGAACCUGCAAACUACGUCACAGCAAUUCUUGAUUCACUUUCUCCUUAAGAGGCUCCAGUCUCUGCCAGGCGAUAAAAAAGGCAGUUGUAGCCACUGGACUCACUCAGCAAACCGUCCAUGGAUUUCUGGGAAUGCUAUGGUGAAUUCUUAGCAGCCAAAGACAACAGAAAAUUAAGGGGAAUGGUGACAGAAAGCCUGCUGAACCCUAGAAUGCUGUACGCAAGCGGAGGAGGCUCUUCCUGCUUCGCUAAGAAGAGAACAGAGUAACUCCUCCCUCAGCAGCGAUGGACUGCCAUGGAAGCCUCUGAUAAGGAUGGGGCCCCGGGGCACGCCUUCCUUCAUGCUGGAUUUUG
rnacentral:lncRNA from 1 species